CCGUGAACGAAUAUUAGUUCUCCCUUAAUUUUACCCCCUAGACUCGAUUACUUGCUCGUAGUAAAUUAAGAGUAAUUUAAAGGAGGUACAGCUCCUUUAAAACAGAACACAAUCUCCCCCAGAGGAUAAGCCAAAGUACUCCCAAACUUGUAGGCCUUUAAGCAGCCACCAACAAAGAAUGCGUCAAAGCUCCUCACACUAAAAAUACAAGACCCUACGCGACUCCCUCACUCAUAACGGGCUAACCUAUUAAAUAUAGGAGCAUUAAUGCUAAAAUAAGUAACUAAGGACCUUCCUUCUAAAGCACAAACUUACAUCUUCACAUUAUUAACAGGCCCAUUAAUAGUCCAACCACUACAAGACUAACUAUCUAAUACCCUGUUAGACCAACCCAGGAGUGCUCAACUAGAAAGAUUCAAACCUGUAAAAGGAACUAGGCAAACCCAAGGCCCGACUGUUUACCAAAAACAUAGCCUUCAGCAAAACAACCAAGUAUUGAAGGUGAUGCCUGCCCAGUGACACUAAGUUUAACGGCCGCGGUAUCCUAACCGUGCAAAGGUAGCGCAAUCAAUUGUCUCAUAAAUCGAGACUUGUAUGAACGGCCAAACGAGGUCUUAACUGUCUCUUACAGGUAAUCAGUGAAAUUGAUCUCCCCGUGCAAAAGCAGGGAUAGACCCAUAAGACGAGAAGACCCUGUGGAACUUAAAAACCGACAGCCACUCUACAAACUCAAAACCCCAUAGGGCCCAUUACCAAUAGACGAUUGGCUCGCAUUUUUCGGUUGGGGCGACCUUGGAGAAAAACACAUCCUCCAAAAAUAAGACCACCCAUCCUAACCAAGACCAACCACUCAAAGUGCUAAUAGUAACCAGACCCAGUAUAACUGAUUAAUGAACCAAGCUACCCCAUGGAUAACAGCGCAAUCCCCUUCAAGAGCCCAUAUCGACAAGGG
rnacentral:rRNA from 1 species